CACACACACACACACACACACACCGAUCUGUGGUCACUAUCUUUGUGGGGACCCGUCAUUGACAUAAUGCAUUCCCUAGCCCUUUACCCUCACCUUAACCAUCGCAACAAAAUGCCUAACCUUAACCCUUACCAUAACCUAAUUCUAACCCUAA